CGGGACGGGUGAGUAACGCGUGGAAAACCUGCCGUAUACUGGGGGAUAACACUUAGAAAUAGGUGCUAAUACCGCAUAAGCGCACAGCUUCGCAUGAAGCGGUGUGAAAAACUCUGGUGGUAUGCGAUGGUUCCGCGUCUGAUUAGCUAGUUGGUGGGGUAAUGGCCUACCAAGGCAACGAUCAGUAGCCGGCCUGAGAGGGUGAACGGCCACAUUGGGACUGAGACACGGCCCAAACUCCUACGGGAGGCAGCAG
rnacentral:rRNA from 1 species